rnacentral:rRNA from 1 species
UACGGGGGGGGCAAGCGUUGUUCGGAAUUACUGGGCGUAAAGGGCUCGUAGGCGGCCAACUAAGUCAGACGUGAAAUCCCUCGGCUUAACCGGGGGAACUGCAUCUGAUACUGGAUGGCUUGAGUUCGGGAGAGGGAUGCGGAAUUCCAGGUGUAGCGGUGAAAUGCGUAGAUAUCUGGAGGAACACCGGUGGCGAAGGCGGCAUCCUGGACCGACACUGACGCUGAGGAGCGAAAGCCAGGGGGAGCAAAACGGGG